AUUUUCCUACGGGGGGCAGCAGUGGGGAAUAUUGCACAAUGGGGGAACCCUGAUGCAGCGACGCCGCGUGGGUGAAGGAGCACCUCGGUGCGUAAAGCCCUAUCGGCAGGGGAGAAAAGCGAACAGGUUCGCCUGGACGGAACCUGACUAAGAAGCCCCGGCUAACUACGUGCCAGCAGCAGCGGGAAUACGUAGGGGGCAAGCGUUAUCCGGAUUCACUGGGGGUAAAGGGAGCGUAGA
rnacentral:rRNA from 1 species